AACGAACGCUGGCGGCAGGCCUAACACAUGCAAGUCGAGCGAAGUCUUCGGACUUAGCGGCGGACGGGUGAGUAACGCGUGGGAAUAUGCCCUUCUCUACGGAAUAGCCUCGGGAAACUGGGAGUAAUACCGUAUACGCCCUUUGGGGGAAAGAUUUAUCGGAGAAGGAUUAGCCCGCGUUGGAUUAGGUAGUUGGUGGGGUAAUGGCCUACCAAGCCGACGAUCCAUAGCUGGUUUGAGAGGAUGAUCAGCCACACUGGGACUGAGACACGGCCCAGACUCCUACGGGAGGCAGCAGUGGGGAAUCUUAGACAAUGGGCGCAAGCCUGAUCUAGCCAUGCCGCGUGAUUGAUGAAGGCCUUAGGGUUGUAAAGAUCUUUCAGCUGGGAAGAUAAUGACGGUACCAGCAGAAGAAGCCCCGGCUAACUCCGUGCCAGCCGCCGCCGUAAAAC
rnacentral:rRNA from 1 species